rnacentral:rRNA from 1 species
UACAGAGGGGGCAAGCGUUGUUCGGAAUUACUGGGCGUAAAGGGCGCGUAGGCGGCCUGUUAAGUCGAACGUGAAAUCCCCGGGCUCAACCCGGGAACUGCGUCCGAUACUGGCAGGCUUGAAUUCGGGAGAGGGAUGCGGAAUUCCCAGUGUAGAGGUGAAAUUCGUAGAUAUUGGGAAGAACACCGGUGGCGAAGGCGGCCAUCUGGCCUGUAAUUGACGCUGAGGCGCGAAAGCGUGGGGAGCAAACAGG